rnacentral:rRNA from 1 species
AUUGAACGCUGGCGGCAGGCCUAACACAUGCAAGUCGAGCGGAUGAAGGGAGCUUGCUCCUGGAUUCAGCGGCGGACGGGUGAGUAAUGCCUAGGAAUCUGCCUGGUCGUGGGGGAUAACGUCCGGAAACGGGCGCUAAUACCGCAUACGUCCUGAGGGAGAAAGUGGGGGUUCUUCGGACCUCACGCUAUCAGAUGAGCCUAGGUCGGAUUAGCUAGUUGGUGGGGUAAAGGCCUACCAAGGCGACGAUCCGUAACUGGUCUGAGAGGAUGAUCAGUCACACUGGAACUGAGACACGGUCCAGACUCCUACGGGAGGCAGCAGUGGGGAAUAUUGGACAAUGGGCGAGAGCCUGAUCCAGCCAUGCCGCGUGUGUGAAGAAGGUCUUCGGAUUGUAAAGCACUUUAAGUUGGGAGGAAGGGCAGUAAGUUAAUACCUUGCUGUUUUGACGUUACCAACAGAAUAAGCACCGGCUAACUUCGUG